rnacentral:rRNA from 1 species
AGUGAACGCUGGCGGCAGGCCUAACACAUGCAAGUCGAGCGGCAGCACAGCAGUAGCAAUACUGUGGGUGGCGAGCGGCGGACGGGUGAGGAAUACAUCGGAAUCUACCUUCUUGUGGGGGAUAACGUAGGGAAACUUACGCUAAUACCGCAUAAGACCUGAGGGUGAAAGCGGGGGACCGCAAGGCAUCGCGCGAGAAGAUGAGCCGAUGUCGGAUUAGCUAGUUGGUGGGGUAAAGGCCCACCAAGGCGACGAUCCGUAGCUGGUCUGAGAGGAUGAUCAGCCACACUGGAACUGAGACACGGUCCAGACUCCUACGGGAGGCAGCAGUGGGGAAUAUUGGACAAUGGGCGCAAGCCUGAUCCAGCCAUGCCGCGUGUGUGAAGAAGGCCUUCGGGUUGUAAAGCACUUUUGUUGGGGAAGAAAAGAUCGCGGUUACUAACCGUGGUUCAUGACGGUACCCAAAGAAUAAGCACCGGCUAACUUCGUGCCAGCCGCCGCUGUAA